AGAGUUUGAUCCUGGCUCAGGAUGAACGCUGGCGGCGUGCUUAACGCAUGCAAGUCGAACGGGAAAUAUUUCAUUGAGACUUCGGUGGAUUUGAUCUAUUUCUAGUGGCGGACGGGUGAGUAACGCGUGGGUAACCUGCCUUAUACAGGGGGAUAACAGUCAGAAAUGGCUGCUAAUACCGCAUAAGCGCACAGAGCUGCAUGGCUCAGUGUGAAAAACUCCGGUGGUAUAAGAUGGACCCGCGUUGGAUUAGCUAGUUGGUGGGGUGACGGCCCACCAAGGCGACGAUCCAUAGCCGGCCUGAGAGGGUGAACGGCCACAUUGGGACUGAGACACGGCCCAGACUCCUACGGGAGGCAGCAGUGGGGAAUAUUGCACAAUGGGGGAAACCCUGAUGCAGCGACGCCGCGUGGAGGAAGAAGGUCUUCGGAUUGUAAACUCCUGUUGUUGAGGAAGAUAAUGACGGUACUCGACAAGGAAGUGACGGCUAACUACGUGCCAGCAGCCGCGGUAAAACGUAGGUCACAAGCGUUGUCCGGAAUUACUGGGUGUAAAGGGAGCGCAGGCGGGAAGACAAGUUGGAAGUGAAAUCUAUGGGCUCAACCCAUAAACUGCUUUCAAAACUGUUUUUCUUGAGUAGUGCAGAGGUAGGCGGAAUUCCCGGUGUAGCGGUGGAAUGCGUAGAUAUCGGGAGGAACACCAGUGGCGAAGGCGGCCCUCUGGGCCGAGACCGACGCUGAGGCGCGAAAGCUGGGGGAGCGAACAGGAUUAGAUACCCUGGUAGUCCCAGCCGUAAACGAUGGACGCUAGGUGUGGGGGGACGAUCCCCCCGUGCCGCAGCCAACGCAUUAAGCGUCCCGCCUGGGGAGUACGUUCGCAAGAAUGAAACUCAAAGGAAUUGACGGGGACCCGCACAAGCGGUGGAGCAUGUGGUUUAAUUCGAAGCAACGCGAAGAACCUUACCAAAUCUUGACAUCCCUCUGACCGGUCCUUAAUCGGACCUUCUCUUCGGAGCAGAGGAGACAGGUGGUGCAUGGUUGUCGUCAGCUCGUGUCGUGAGAUGUUGGGUUAAGUCCCGCAACGAGCGCAACCCCUAUCCUCAGUAGCCAGCAUUUAAGGUGGGCACUCUGGGGAGACUGCCAGGGAUAACCUGGAGGAAGGCGGGGAUGACGUCAAAUCAUCAUGCCCCUUAUGAUUUGGGCUACACACGUGCUACAAUGGCGUAAACAAAGGGAAGCGAGAUCGUGAGAUGGAGCAAAUCCCAAAAAUAACGUCCCAGUUCGGACUGUAGUCUGCAACCCGACUACACGAAGCUGGAAUCGCUAGUAAUCGCGGAUCAGAAUGCCGCGGUGAAUACGUUCCCGGGUCUUGCACUAAGGGCCCGUCA
rnacentral:rRNA from 1 species